rnacentral:rRNA from 1 species
AGGAAUCUCGGCAAAAGUGUUCGGGACAACAGUUUGGAAACGACUGCUAAUACCGGAUGUGCCUGUGGGUGAAAGAUUAAUCGCCUUUUGAUGAGCUCGCGUCUGAUUAGCUAGUUGGUGUGGUAAGAGCGCACCAAGGCGACGAUCAGUAGCUGGUCUGAGAGGAUGACCAGUCACACUGGGACUGAGACACGGCCCAGACUCCUACGGGAGGCAGCAGUGGGGAAUUUUCCGCAAUGGGCGAAAGCCUGACGGAGCAAUACCGCGUGAGGGAGGAAGGCUCUUGGGUUGUAAACCUCUUUUCUCAGGGAAUAAGAAAGUGAAGGUACCUGAGGAAUCAGCAUCGGCUAACUCCGUGCCAGCAGCCGCGGUAAUACGGAGGAUGCAAGCGUUAUCCGGAAUGAUUGGGCGUAAAGCGUCCGCAGGUGGUUGCUCAAGUCUGCUGUCAAAGAGUCUGGCUCAACCAGAUAAAGGCAGUGGAAACUGAGAGACUAGAGUGCGGUAGGGGCAGAGGGAAUUCCUGGUGUAGCGGUGAAAUGCGUAGAGAUCAGGAAGAACACCGGUGGCGAAAGCGCUCUGCUGGACCGCAACUGACACUGAGGGACGAAAGCUAGGGGAGCGAAUGGGAUUAGAUACCCCAGUAGUCA